UGUGAGACCUGAUGGCAGAAGACUUUCAACGCACUCAAAACUCGGUUCAAUAACAUAUCAGGAGAUAAAAAGAAGAUGUCGAAGAUGACAUAUCGGAUCCUUCCUCACGACAAGGGAACAACAACUUUGAUAAAUAUAUCCUACACUGUACUUAUGUUAUAUGUGCAGCUCGCUUAUAAAUACCAGGCUGAAUUGAGAUAGAAAACAUGUUAUGUUCCAUUGCAUAAGAGACUAUGUACUGUGAGAAUUGCGUUUUAUGAAAUGUGAGUAUGCGAGUUGUGUGAGAGUCGCACAUGUGAGGUGAACUGAGUCGAGAGAAUUCAGAUGAGUCUGUCAUGUAAACUAUUCUUAUCUUUCUUAAUAUUCAAUCGAAUACAAAUUGUUCAGCAAUGUAGAUUCAUUCUGAAUCUAGUAUGGUAUCAGACUCAGAAAUCAUGAAUUUCUGAGGGUAUCGAUCCUAUCUUCCGCUGAUUCAACCCUAAAUUCUUUAACUCAUCUUCCUGCUGUUGUCUUCCUCUUCUCUGCUGGUAGUUGUCAUCAGAAAUUAAUCUCUGUGAUGAAAUUUGAUCUGAGUUUACCUCUUAAAAGACAAAUUCGCUUAGUUUUGAUGUUUCUUUUCUGCAUCUCAAGCAACAAUUGACUACGUCUUGGUUGUUAAAGGAGUUUUGUCUGAAGAUUCAUGGAGUUUGGAUGAAGAUUUGUUACUGGUGGUUAUUGGUGUGGAGUGAGAUUUGAUCCUGGUGCUUCACUGCUACGUCUUCAAAUUGAAUCAAGCAUACUUCUCAGUUCUAGAAUUUGGUUUUUCUUCUUCGUCAGGAAAACUAGGUCAAAGCUGUCCUCACUUUCGUCGUGUUGAAAAUCUUGCGUGUUUCAAUGAUGGAGCUGAGAGUGAGGAGUGGAUUUGGAAUUGGUUUGGUACUGCAUCAGAGAUCGGAGUUCUCUUUGUUGAAUUUACAUUCACUUCUGAAUGUAGCCUGGUUUAGUUAUCUUUACUCUUCUGUUGGUGAAUAAUAUGGGUACUUUAAUAAGUGCUUUCGAUAAACUGCUUCAGCUUUGGUUUGUUGUUUUCAAUAUUUCUUUGCUUGCUAAUAAUGGUGUUUCAAGAAGAUCACAGUUGCAGAGACUCGUGAGUUAUUGCAUCUCAUUGUACAAGGUUGGUACACAAGUGACAUUCCAAAAUGUUUAUAUUGGUUACGACCGUGUAGUUCUUCUCCAGACCAUGUUUCGUUUAUCACCUACUAGUUUAUGCGCACAAUUUUGGUUACCUGUUGUUCCUUACUGUGAUGUGCUUGUCAGUGAACUGGUGCUGCUAUUCUUCAGUUGUUUUCUCAUGGUCAGCAAGUUCAAAUUCCACUACGGCGCCUAUUCUGUCUUGCAUACCGCUGUUGUGCCUUUUGCACUGAAUUUUGGGAUGGCAAUUCAAUAUGAGAGUCUGGUGCUGAAUCGGCUACACUUAUUAGCUAGCUGCAAGUCAUCAAUUUUCAUCAUGCCGUGCACCUACUUCUCUUUAUGAAUCUAAAAUGUGCAGGUCGUAUAAGCUCAUGCAGGAUACAGUGCUACUGUUAGAUGGGUUUUUCAGGUUGUUAAUAUUCAAGAUGGUUCUGCAUUGAAUUUCACUGGUGCUAAUAUUGGUCCUUGGAAAUGCAUCCAUACAAGCUAUAUUGCAGAAUGCGUAAGUGACGCCAACAGCUCGUCCAAUGGAGUCAUACUUGGUUUGCAAUUUCACUUCUCUGUGUUCAAAUUACUACUGCAAUCUUAUCAGGACAUUCUUACACUACAAGCUAUUAUAUUUCUUUUGCUAGCAAGCUAGUGUAGUUACAGUUUUGGAUGAACUUUUAGCUCAAUUCUGGCAGGCGUAAAGUUACGGAUAUCAGUUGUGCAGCAUACUGCUUCGAAUACAGUGGUGCGGAGUUUCUCCACAGUAUACAGGGGUGCCUAUUCUUAUGCAACUCAUGAUGGCCUUAUUACACUGCAAGGAACUAUUUCUACCGGAGCUUGCUAUUUUUCCCGAUCCACCAGCUGCUACAUUACUUCUUAGUGGUGACAUGUUCAACUGCCUUUCUCUGCAUCAAAAUGGUGGUACAGUUAGUUUUCAUCAGUUGGUGUUCUGUUUUGCAGCUGUAGCUUCUGCGUCAACAAUUCUGCAUCACCCAACUGCCCCUUUUGGAGCUACUGUUUUUAGACUUAUGGAUUUCCACCUGCAACUACUACAUCCACCUGGUAUUAUCCUUUUAUUAUAUGCUUGACUCUUCACAUCGCCAUUAACUGUCAGCAUAAGAGACUAUGUAGUGUGAGAAUUGUGUUUCCGAUCUCAAGUUGUCUUUUACAGCCAACUUGACAUUGAGGGAGGGUAAUAGCAUAAGAGACUAUGUACUGUGAGAAUUGUGUUUUAUGAAAUGUGAGUAUGCGAGUUGUGUGAGAGUCGCACAUGUGAGGUGAACUGAGUCGAGAGAAUUCAAAUGAGUAUAUAAACUGAGUCUGUCCUGUAAACCAUUCUUAUCUUCUUCUAUUAAUCAAUUGAUUAUCAAAC